UCAUGAUCUCAGGGAAAAUACAAACCCAAACUAUAAUGAGGUAUCAUCUCUCACCUGUCACAAUGGCGAAAAUCACUAACACAAGAAACAACAAGUAUUGUGGAGGUUGCAGAGA